UACUCCCAGCAAUGGGCAAAGAGACACCUUGUUGGUGGUCUUGUUCUUAUAUCAGUCAGGGCAGAGCAGAUGGAAGUCCUUUGUUCAUCCUAGCUUGAUGUAUGACUUGGUGGCACUAGCUGUUUUAUGCCUAGGACUCAUAA